AAGAUACCUUGGAUUUGGCCAUUUGGGUUUAACAAAUCACAUGACCUCCAAUAAACAAUUUUUACACAAUCUACAACCUUUACCUAAGGCUUAACAUUGGAUUUGGCUGCUAGUGUUUUGAAUCCUGCAGCACCUGGGAAUGGUAAUCCCAUAAGUGUUACUAAUCCUAAAUCGAAAAGGACUGGAGGUGAUGAAUUAAUGCUUGUGAAGGGUCAGGAUAAACCUACACGUGAUGUUCCUGCUUCUAUAGCCUAGAGAGAAUUUACAAUGCUGUAAAUCCAGUUGUACAAGCUAGGCAGAUGUGUGACAGUCAUGACAAAGCUGGACAAACUCCUACAGCAGCGCGAUAUGUUGGUGUUAUUGAAGGGAGUAACGAUGAUCAGAUUGAGAGGAAAGCAGUUGGACAAACUCCUAUGGCUAAAGGUGUUGGGCAUGUACUUGAUACUUCAAAGAAAACAGCUACAAAUGCAAGGACUGGACAUGUUUGUGAUACUUUGGGCAAAUGUGUUACAACUAAAGAUUAUGUGGUUGCUGGUGUUACUACAUGUUCUGUUGCUGGACAAAAAUCUACAAAAGUUGGGACAGUUAUAUCAAUAUUACUAAUUUCAUUAGGAGCAAUAUACAUUCUGAGAGACUUCCUAGGCUUGGCACUUAUAUAAUAGAAAUUUGGUACUACUGCUUGGAAGCAUAUAGUUAUCGCUAAAGAGCUCCAAUUGGCAUGAUUGUUGAAAAGAGCCGUAUAAUAUUAGUGGUUAAACAAUAUAAAAUGCAUCUAAAGCUUCCAAGUUCUCUUUCAGUAGCUUUUCGAGCACCUUCAAUGGGAAUUUUACAAUGAAAGUUUUUUCAAAAGGGAAAUUGAACGUCUGAAAUCCAGCUUGGUGCUUUGACAACUUAGACAUACAAAUUGCACAACUUCUUGUAAUUUUCUACUGAAAGAACGAAAGGUACUUGUGCAUUCCACAAAUUGGAAUUCCCAAACUACUAGUUCCAAGACAUGGGGAUAAGAAGGGUAGAGGAUUGGUGGGAGAAAACAUUUUUUAAGAUGCAAAGUUAUACUACCAAAAUGGAGAGUUUACUGUAUUUUGCUUAUUUAGAUACUUUAUGAUUCUCUUUAUCUAUUUUCUGCGGGAGUCACUAAUGCUUUUUGUUUUUGUUUUGUUUUAUAGCUGUUUUUCCUUUUGUCCUAUGCGCCGAGGGUCGAUUGGAAACAGCCUCCCUGCCCUUUCGGGUAGGGGUAAGGCUUGUCUACAUAUUACCUUAGAUACUUUAUGAUUCUCUUUAUCUAGCUUGUAUCACAUACUUUGGUAUCUUCUUGGGUUUCUAUAUCUCUCCCUCUGGAUAGUUACUGCCUUUUUGCCUUUCAAUUUUGGUUUAAAAUAUCCAUUUGCAUUUGCUUAUAAAGUAAGUAACCUCGGGAAUGUGCAUGGCGGUUCAAGCAUUUUUACCUUCUGAAUCUCAGGGGCUCCUAAGUAUUAUGGCAGGAUUUAUUCUCAUAUCUCCAGUAAUAACCUCGUUUACAUAGUAUUGUCUACUUGUAUCUACAUUCGUACUCAUAUGUUCGUCUUUCCUUGUAUACUUGUAUUUGCUUUUGUCUACCUAUAUGAAGUAGCUUUUCGAACAUCGUCAAAAUUCCCUGAAUGCUUACUUCCAUAUGACUUCAGAAAAGAUUUCUGAAGUAUGGUGGAGAAUUUGAAAUGCUUUUAUAGUAAAAGCUACAAUCAUUCUUUGAUUAUUCAGAUGUGAAGUGAUCUUAAGGCACAAAUGUUGAUUUAACAUGCCCUGCAAUAUGAAGGAUACUCUAUCUACUUUUGUUGAAAACCUAGCAAUUCUAAGAUGGAAUAUUGAAGGAUACUCUAUCUACUUCUAGCCGAUUGAUCACAACUUCGUUAUUUCUAGCUGCUAAGUUAUAAGCACAAAAUAAUGCAGCUGUUACUGCUUAAGUUGGUGCGCAAACUAGUGACAUAUGGACAGUAGUGAUGAGGUCUCCUACUAAGCGAAAUACUGCUCCAGGUGUGAAGAAUCAACAGCAGAAUAUGAGUGUUCCAACUGCUCGACAAAUCACGUCAAAGGCUAUCACAAGUCCAAAUAGUUUUGAAGCACUAGCCGAAGAGGUGAACUUUGGUGUUAACUCUCUAAUAGUCAAGGAUACUGGAUUGAUGCAGCAAAUUGCACCAUGUAUUAGUACUAGCUAACAUGAUCAGUCAAGUGAAAAUCUUUCUAAGAAGUUGGGUGUUCGACAAAUUGCCUCGGAGAAUAAUUUAAUUGAGAAUGUGGGGAUGAUCAAAUAGUGAGAUAUAGCACUCCUGGGUUGCAUUUUUCCAGCCCAGAAGUUGAAAGAAUUAUCAAAGAAACUCAGAUUUCCAUGAUGAUGAAAGCUAACCCUACGAUCAACCAACAUGUUCUGUGUAUACUCGUUUAUCUCGUUCUUCUAUUCUAUCUAUUCUCAGUUAUUCGAUACUACAAUCUUUUUUUCAAAUUUCACUUUGAAUAGAUACUUUUAGUGUUUAAAUAUAAGUAAAAGAUUAUUCUGAUCCUUUCAGACCUUCACAUGGAAAAACUAACCAGUUGAAAAAUAUUUUUCGAACCUUUUAGCCGCUAAAACUCCUCUUUGUAAUAAGGUAAAAAUCAAUAAUGAGCCUAAUAAUGCACUAAAUCACCAACUAACAAUAGAGUAAAAACAGUAUAUAUAUCAUAAUCAGGCAAAAAGUUUGAACAUGGUUGAAUUCAUAGUUCGACUACUGGCAUUCAACUAAAACAUCAAUACGCAUCAACGACACUCAGAAAUUUUUUGAAAAAUCACAAAAAUAACAGUAGCCUUAGAAAACAGAGGAACCAAUUCAAUAACAAUAGAGUAACAGAUGAGGAAUCAAUUCAAUCAAUCGACUACCAAUCUAACAACAACCAGAUAUCACAAACGACUUAGUAAACACAGAAAAAGCUAUAAUUUCACUAAUCCCAAAAGGCCAUAGUUCGAUGACAAAAAUCAAAAUUAAAGAUUGUUACCUGAUAAGCAAAGUUUUUUGCCGAUUAAGACAGGAAAUUGAAGGAAACGAAUGCUUUAUGCAAUAAUUCUUGAAACCUACACGAAAACAAAAGUUGUAGACGAAUGAGAAGGAGAAGAUUGACAACGAAGAUUAAAAAUAAUCGAGCAGCAUCAACCCAAAUUUAUAUGUAAUGGAUUGAGAACGACCUGCGAUGGCCGGAGACGAGGGAGGCUUUUGCAGCGAUAGUGUUAACGCGUACGUUUUCCUAGCGUCGUUCUUCGUUCUAAUUACAGGGUUUUUCCUAGUAUUGUUUUUCUAAUCGUAGGGUUUUCUAAUAGGAGGGAAUGUAAUUUUUUGUCCCAAAAAAUUUGGAGGGAAGAUUUAUU
rnacentral:lncRNA from 1 species